UACGAAGGUGGCAAGCGUUGUUCGGAAUCACUGGGCUUAAAGAGCACGUAGGCGGCCUCAUAAGCGAUCUGUGAAAUCCCUCGGCUCAACCGAGGAAUUGCUGGUCGAACUGUGAGGCUUGAGGCAAGUAGGGGUGCAUGGAACUCUUGGUGGAGCGGUGAAAUGCGUAGAUAUCAAGAGGAACGCCGGUGGCGAAAGCGGUGCACUGGGCUUGUCCUGACGCUGAGGUGCGAAAGCUAGGGGAGCAAACGGGAUUAGAUACCCCGGUAGUCCUAGCCGUAAACGAUGCCUACUAGGUCGGAGUCUCUCUGACGGGAUUUCGGCCGAAAUUAAAACGUUAAGUAGGCCGCCUGGGGAGUACGGUCGCAAGGCUAAA
rnacentral:rRNA from 1 species